rnacentral:tRNA from 1 species
CUCCAGGUGGCGGGUGCCGGGCUGCUGCGGGCCUGGCGCGCCCGCAUCGCCCACCCCGCGAAGGUCUGAGGCAUGGAUCGUUUCCACUACCUGCUGG